UGGGGAAUUUUGGACAAUGGGCGAAAGCCUGAUCCAGCAAUGCCGCGUGUGUGAAGAAGGCCUUCGGGUUGUAAAGCACUUUUGUCCGGAAAGAAAUCCUUGGCUCUAAUACAGUCGGGGGAUGACGGUACCGGAAGAAUAAGCACCGGCUAACUACGUGCCAGCAGCCGCGGUAAUACGUAGGGUGCAAGCGUUAAUCGGAAUUACUGGGCGUAAAGCGUGCGCAGGCGGUUUGCUAAGACCGAUGUGAAAUCCCCGGGCUCAACCUGGGAACUGCAUUGGUGACUGGCAGGCUAGAGUAUGGCAGAGGGGGGUAGAAUUCCACGUGUAGCAGUGAAAUGCGUAGAGAUGUGGAGGAAUACCGAUGGCGAAGGCAGCCCCCUGGGCCAAAUACUGACGCUCAUGCACGAAAAGCGUGGGGGAGCAAAACAGGAUUAGAUACCCUGGUAGUCCACGCCCUAAAACGAUGUCAACUAGUUGUUGGGGGAUUCAUUUCCUUAGUAACGUAGCUAACGCGUG
rnacentral:rRNA from 1 species